UACGAAGGGUGCAAGCGUUGCUCGGAAUUAUUGGGCGUAAAGGGUUGGUAGGUGGUCUUGUUUGUCUAAGGUGAAAUCCCAUGGCUUAACUGUGGAAGUGCCUUAGAAACGGCAAGACUAGAGUCCUAGAGGGGUUUGUGGAAUUCCCGGUGUAGCGGUGAAAUGCGUAGAGAUCGGGAGGAACACCAGCGGCGAAGGCGGCAAACUGGACCACAACUGACGCUGAGGCGCGAAAGCUAGGGGAGCAAACAGG
rnacentral:rRNA from 1 species